UUGAAUCUCUGUCAGGCUUGCAACCCCACUCUGUGCUGCCCUGACCCUGCUGGAGGUUAUGACCUCGGGUUUGGGAACCGCUGGGAUAGACUGCCAGAUAGUCCUGCAGGGGAAGCGGUGAUAUGCCCCUUCCAGGCCAGGAUCAUCACAACAAAUGCCUUCAGAUCUCACAGUAAUUUGUAGGCCCUUGCCACCAGUUGGGGAUUGUAGCCUAUUAGAGCUGACAUGUCACUUUAGUACAUCAGGAACAUCUCGGAGAUCAAAAGGUCAUAGUCCUCCCACGCUGCUCGAGCCUUUCUUCAUGGAUGCUCCCCUGUCAUUUGGCUGGCAGUGAGCCCUGGCUCCCAGGCGGCGUGCUGACUGAGCCACGAGUGCUGCAUGCCUACCAGCUGCAGCUUCUGCCCCCCCACCUCUCCUUCGGCUUACUCUACUCUCAAAUCACCCCUUUCAAAACACUUUUCCCCAAACUCUCCUUGCCCGUGUCUCUCUUUGCUGAAAUCAUUAAAAGCUAUAUUCAAAGUAAUUAAAAGCUAUAUGGGGCAAUGCUGGCAGAGGUGUGCAAAGCCUUUUCCUGUAGUUUGUAAAAGUAUGAUUGUUACUCACAUACCUGUAGAUGCGAGCACAAUCUUCCAGAUGCAGGAUGCUGAUGGAAAAAUAAACAGUAGAUGGUCUCAUGGGGAUGUUGUGGUUUGUGAAAUGAAGGGCUUUGAUAAGACAUGCAAGCAGCUUUUGUAGUAUAAAAUGCAAACUUUAAGAUGGCCUAGUUUGAGGUUUUUGUGCUUUGUUUUACUGCAGUCUUAUAACAGGUUUAUAAACAACAACAAAAAUAGAUUUCAAAUGUGUUUUUCAAAAGUACUGUUUACCAGAAUGUAAAAUUGUGACAUUUUAAUAGCUAACUGAAUUGAUAGUCAAAGACCAGUGACUUCAUCCUAUACAGUCAUGGAAGUUAGUCUGUGGAAUCACUGUGUGAUCUGGCAAGGGUGGGGCCUGCAAAAGAUCUAUCCAAUAAGAUUCAUUCUGUGCCUAAAAUACCUCUUAUCCUGCAUCUGCGUUAGUAUUUGGAUUGAGAUCACUAACAUGGCUUUGAAGCGAGUCCUCAAUCACCUUUGCUUGCUGCAGGUUCGCAUGAUGUAACUCAACAACAUGGGUUCAGUGUAUGAAGUCAUUUAUAUCUGUAGAGUUCACCAUCUUUGCUUAUGGUCAGCUGCUGCCCAGUUCUCCCUUUCCUGAAGGAGCAUCUGCUGCUUAGUCGCCACUGUGACAAGUGUGCUGUGCACAUGUGAACUAAUGUGGAAUGAGGUGUAUGGAUCCCGAGAUGAGUCACAGAGGCAGAGGCCAACACACAGUGAUCUCCCUGGUAUUUACCAUGCAUGGUAUAGAUGUAUCGUGAGAAGAACCUGCCUUCUGUUAAAAUGAGUCUUCUGACUGGAUGGAAAAAUCCUAUGGGGGAGAGGAGACUAUAUCACGUUCAUGGGAUUCUGUGGAAGGGACCUGGAAAACAUAUUUUAGUGAGCUGUGAUUUUCCCUUUGGUAGGGAUAUCUUGCUUUUAUUACAGGUUAUAAAAGGUAUUUGUGUCCAGCAGGCCUGAAUAACUGAGAGCAAGCCAAAUGGCAUGUGACAGAAUAUCUCACUCAGCCAAUGCAAUUAGGGUGAUUUUGAGAUUAUUAUAGUUUCAGCCAAGAUUUGAUUAUUGUUCUUUUGCAUCAGUAUUUAAGGUGGGAGAAAUUCACCUGCAAUUUGCUGUAGUGAAUUAGAUGUAGUUCAAACAAAUGAAUAGGUUACUGUGCGUAUAAAACAGUGGAUUUUCAUCAGGCUUCAACAUGAUAAAGUAUUUCUUUUUUUAAUUAUGCUGAAAAUUUUUGCAACAGUAGUUUCCAUGAAGAAAAGUUUAUUCAAGUGAUGUGUUUCAUGGUGUUGUGUUUAGCCUGAUAAAAUAUAUGUCUUGAAGAUGAGAGGAAACUAGGCGGAGGUUCUUGGUCAGAACUAAACGUGUUACACAAAUUAACAUGUGGGUUAUUCUCUCUCUCUCUCUCUCUCCCUGCUUCCUACCACUCAAAAAAUGUUGUUUGUGAGGUCUUCCUUCUGCUAUAUUUUUGAAGAACAUAAUGAAAAUAAAAUUGUUUAGCUGUCAGCCCUAAUUCUUUCCUCCAUGUGAAAUUAUGUGGUGUUUGUCCUGCAUUUUGCACAGGUAUCUGUGGUAGUUGUGUACUAUAUUCUCAUCUCUUUUAUUAACAAUUGCCUGCUGGUGGUAGCCUUGCACAUAGCUGUGAGCAAUCUCUUCUCUCAGUAGUGCCAUUGAAAACGUUUGAGAGCUUGCUACCCAGUUUUGGCAGUUUAAUUACUAAUGAUGUGUUAUUGCUUCAAAAUUAAUAGCUGUUUCUCGUUAUGAUAAAGUUGCUUUAAACCUGCAAGCUUUUUUAAACUGAAUUUGUUGCUUCCUCUUUGCAGUGUGGUUUCCUCCUUUGGCACCUUUAGAACGUUGUGGUCCUGGGUGUUGCUGAGGUGACAUGUCAUAUUUACACUCUACUGGAAAAGACUGCGUCAUGGGCACUUGAAACUGUGGAGUUUUCUUAGUUCAGAUACUCAGAGUUGACUUCCUGUAGCCACAUGAUUGCUUAUUUUGAAUGCUAAAAUGUUCUUCUGUAUUGUUGUAUUUAACUUUGAAUCUAUACCUAUCAUCUUUUUAAUGCUAACACUGUGCUGCCUGUUGUAGAGUGAGCAGAAUGUUUCUUAUUUGUCUCCAUUACUUCUGCUUCCUUUUUGGUCUCCUCUCCAUCUCCAUGGCCACGAUUCCAUAUUGGUUUAAUUAUUGAGGCUUUUAAAGGAAUAAAACAAGGUCUAAGAUAUCAGCCUGUGUCUGUCAAAAAAAGACAGAAAGCAAGCUCUUUUUUACCUUUUUGGUAUUGUAACAUCUUCCAGUGCUGUGACUGGUGGUGUUCCGUAGAAACUCUUUAGGCCAGGGUCUUGCACCUUCCCUUUCUAAGAUUUAAAGUCCUUAACAUCUUGGUCCUAUUUACAUAAUAAAGCAAAUGAUGGUGAUUUUGUUCAGCCAUUUUAUC